CCUACGGGAGGCAGCAGUGAGGAAUAUUGGUCAAUGGGCGGGAGCCUGAACCAGCCAAGUCGCGUGAGGGAAGACGGUCCUAUGGAUUGUAAACCUCUUUAGGCGGGGAGCAAUGCCGGGCACGUGUGCCCGGAGGGAGAGUACUUGCAGAAUAAGCAUCGGCUAACUUCGUGCCAGCAGCCGCGGUAAUACGAGGGUUGCGAGCGUUAUCCGGUUUUAUUGGGGUUAAAGGGGGCGUAGGCGGAAUUAUAAGUCAGCGGUAAAAUGUCGGGGCUCAACCCGGGCCGGCCGUUGAAACUGGGGAUCUUGAGUGGGCGAGAGGUAUGCGGAAUGCGUGGUGUAGCGGUGAAAUGCAUAGAUAUCACGCAGAACUCCGGUUGCGAAGGCAGCAUACCGGCGCCCGACUGACGCUGAGGCACGAAAGCGUGGGGAUCGAACAGGAUUAGAUACCCUUGUAGUC
rnacentral:rRNA from 1 species